rnacentral:lncRNA from 1 species
GUGGAGAACAGGUGGCCCCGAGAUCAGGCCCUUUUUUGCUCUUUGUAUUUUAUUUUGAAACUGUAUUUAAUGCUUUUAUAUGAAAGGGGGAGGGGCGGGGACAGAGCUGACCCAGUCACCCUUAUGUGCAAAUGUCUUAUUUAUUAUGCGUGUAUCAGAGAUAAGCUGUGAGGUGGUGGAGGGAGGACCUGAAGGAAGGAGGAGCGAGGGCAGAGGCGGGGACGGGAGGACCCCAACUAGCUGUGCUGAUGUUAAUCCCGCUGGGAGACUCCGGGCCCUACUGUCUGCUCUUCACAAAGCCAGGCUGCUGCAGGAACAGUUCCCGCGGUCCUAAAGCCGGGGCGGGGAGGCUAGUGGGUGGAACUUGAGGGUUGGGUCUGGAGGAAGAGAUGCCUGGGCAGCGUGGUCCAGCCCCUGCCUCGGGGUGGAAAGGCAGAGAGCAAAGAGGAGGCCCCUCUUAUUCCGGACCCCCAGGCCAGAGCCCAGGAGUGGGAAAGCAGAGGGCAAAGAGGAGGCCCCUCCUCUCAUCCCUGACCCCCAGGCCAGAGCCUAAGGUUCAAGUGCCUCAGGCCCAGUCCCCUUGACGCUUCCUGUUUGGGAGUUGGAUUUUAUACCACGGAUUUUAUAGCAUUUUUAUAUAAUUGAGGAUUGUCAGAAUUGGAAAGGGCCCUGGAGAUCACUAGUACUACCCUCCUCACCUUCACAGAUAGGUAAAUUGGAGCCCAGGAACCGAGAUGAUCACACAGCCAGGUAGGGACAGUACAAGAACUAGAAUGAAAAUCCUAGCUCCUGACUCAGUGUUCUUUGCACGAUGCCACACUGCUUCCCAAUUCGCUGGUCAGUUAUUAAAAUUUGUCAGGCCUGCCGAAGGAUUGACAUGCUGGGCAAUGCAGGCCACCACGGUGGAUCUGUGACUCCUGAAGGUGGCAAAGCCCUGCACACUGCCUUGGGAUGAGCACACUGAGCUCUGCAGGGCCUCAGCUGGAAGGCGCCAUCCAAUCGUCCUUCCCCUCCCCAGCAGAACUCCAGAGGUGGGGCGGCUGCCGCAGGGCCCAAGGCUGCCUCGGCAGGGGGCUUUGUGCUUUUUGUUGUGGAGGCCACCAGGGAUUCAGGAAGAUCCUGAAUGGGUUGUCAAUUGACUGAAAAGUAAAUUCCCAGUGAGUUUGAACCUCCACGGUUUUUGAGACAGUAUUAAAAGCUUGAGAACGGAGAUUAUGGAUGGCACCAGGCUGGGCACUGCCAUUCUUUUACUUUCCUUCAUGCAUUUUUUCGGAUCCAGAGUAUUAACACCACUUUUUUUACUCUGCCCAUUCAAAAACAGUAGGCAAAUUGGGGGAACCAAUUUAUAAUCACUCAAGCCCACUGCCAAAGUUCGGAUAAGCCAGGGCAGAGGGGUUAGAUUCCCCCCCCUCCGUAGGCAGAGAGAGGCCUCAGGAGAGUGGACAUCUUUACUGAGACAGCCCCAAACACACCAGUGGCUCUCAAAGUGUGUCCCUGAGACCAGCAGCAUCACCUUAGGAAUCUGCUAGAAAUAAAAAUUCUUGGGCCAUACCCCAGGGUUACUGAAUCAGAAACUUGGUUGGGGCCUAGCAGUGUUUUCAUGAGCCCUCCAUUGAUCUUGAUGCAGCUGAAGUGCCGGGCACCAGUGAAAGGGAAGGGCUGCGGUAGUGAUUCCAUUGAUUCCUGCUUUGAUGGAAGUUAUGGCCUCACAGGUUAGACGUUGCAAGUUGAGUUGGCCCUCUUGCCUAGGUGUGCCUCCUUGCCUUGGGAUUCUGACAUGAACAGGUGAAGUCUCUUCAUGAUUUUUUUUGUUGUUGUUGUUAAUGGUAUGCUUGCUAUUAUGGCCAAUAUGUAAAUGUUACUCUGAAUACAUAUUUAUAUACCAUGUUACUUAGUGACAUUAUUCAAACAUUUGUAUGCGUAUUUGUGAAAUUGUUUGCAUCAGUCAUUUAAAAAAUAUUUCAGCCUAAGUUUUCUAAGAGGUAUGUUGAAUACAUUUUUAAAAGCCAGCUUAAGGGUCACAGCAGCCUUAGUUUAGGAGAAGAGCUAAUCACAGGUGACCACUCAAGUUCUUUCAAUGAAGACCUGAUGAUGUAUUUAGUUCCCAUUUUCCACGGUGAUUGACUCAAUUUAAGUGUAUUGUGGCUAUAUGUAAUUUACAGGCUGCUUUGCGUUGCAGGUGGGAAAAUCUCCCAGGCUGGUGUGAGGCUGAACUGGGGUAAAAGACCCCCUGACCCCUCCUCAUUCUUCUAAGGUCACCACCUCUUAGAGGGUCUCUUAUUUUCUUUCAGAGAUCAAAUGCACAGUUAUGCUGUACAACUAAAUUCUGCAGUCUUGGGAAUCCUUACGAGUACCAACUAUUAGUCACUUUUUAAAGUCCCCAAAGUGGAGUGAGGAUAGGGGGAGUGGAAGCAGUGUUUGGUUCUUACUUUACCCAAACUGUGUAUAAAGAAUAAAGUUAGCAGAAUGAUGCCAC